GUUUCUGAGCCCUUUUUUCUGUUCCAGUCAUCUCUUGGCUAUCUUGGUGCCACAGUGCCAUUCUGCCUUAAUCACUGAGGCUUUAUGGACAGCCUGGAGCAGCCGGACAUUUCCCCAUGGCUUUUCUGCUGCUCGUGGCCAAGUGCUUCCUGUGAUGUCCCCACCCCUCUCACAGGAACCCCAUCUCCCAGGCUUGCACCCUGUCCUUUGGGAUAGUCAAAGCCGGAUGCUGAGUUCAACACCAAGUUCUAGGGGCAGCUGGGCUCCACCGUCUGCAUGGAUCAGUUGUCUUUGCUUCUCAAAGUCCUUGCAGUUGACCGUUCUUGGCAGUAGCAUUUUGACUCCUAUGAUGGCAAUCUACUGG